AAGUCGUAACAAGGUUUCCGUAGGUGAACCUGCGGAAGGAUCAUUAUCGAAUCUUUGAAGGAGCUGUUUGCUGGCCCUUGACGGGGCAUGUGCACGCUUCGCUCAAAUCCUCCAUUCAUACCCCUGUGCAUCGUUUGUAGGGUCGCGUCGGUCGAGAGGCCGCACGCGCUCUAUGUCUAUCAUAAACUCUUGUAUGUGUGUAGAAUGUUCAAUGCGUCCGACGCAUCUUUAUACAACUUUCAGCAACGGAUCUCUUGGCUCUC
rnacentral:misc_RNA from 1 species